CCGUCCUCCCGCUGCUGCUCCAGUUGUCUUUGUCUGUUUUCCGUUUUUCCUUGCUUUCUAAUCCGUCAUUUUCUAAUCCUUCGGCGUGUUUGGGUCAGGACCACACUGGUGACUGGAAGGCGCGUUCUGCAUGGUCGCCCACUAGAAUGUCAACGUCUGCUUUUUUGGUUGUGCCCUUAGAACAUGGCAAUACCCUAUCCAAAGCCGGAGGAAGGUCUGACAAUGGGCAGGCAAGCUGAAGGGAUGCUGGCAGGCAGGAUGUCGAGGUCACCAAAGCGAGCUGCUCACCGUCUGGCCGGUGUGGGGCGACUGACAGAGAUACAUGGGAUCUCAGUUUAGCUGCUUACAGGAAACCUGAGAAACUACAGGAGGUCUGCAGAAGGUGCCGGAAUGUCCCCACACGUCUCCCGUGGCAUCCCAGAUGCAGUGGUCCUGUCUCGCGUGCUGGCAGAUGUGUUAAAUAAUGGCCUUUGUUAAGAGUUCUGCUCUGGUUCAAGAGGAAACCAUUGCCUAGCUGGGUUCUCUGCAGAAAUAAAAGAAAAAACAGAAGAAAGGAAUUAGUGCUGCUGCCAAAGUCUUACUCACAAUGUUUUUGCCCUUAGUAAAGAUUUCUUGGUGCCUCAUA